AGUGAACGCUGGCGGUAGGCCUAACACAUGCAAGUCGAACGGCAGCACAGUAAGAGCUUGCUCUUACGGGUGGCGAGUGGCGGACGGGUGAGGAAUACAUCGGAAUCUACUUUUUCGUGGGGGAUAACGUAGGGAAACUUACGCUAAUACCGCAUACGACCUACGGGUGAAAGCAGGGGAUCUUCGGACCUUGCGCGAUUGAAUGAGCCGAUGUCGGAUUAGCUAGUUGGCGGGGUAAAGGCCCACCAAGGCGACGAUCCGUAGCUGGUCUGAGAGGAUGAACAGCCACACUGGAACUGAGACACGGUCCAGACUCCGACGGGAGGCAGCAGUGGGGAAUAUUGGACAAUGGGCGCAAGCCUGAUCCAGCCAUACCGCGUGGGUGAAGAAGGCCUUCGGGUUGUAAAGCCCUUUUGUUGGGAAAGAAAAGCAGCAGGUUAAUACCCCGCUGUUCUGACGGUACCCAAAGAAUAAGCACCGGCUAACUUCGUG
rnacentral:rRNA from 1 species